GCGGUGCGGCAGCAUACACAUGCAGUCGAGCGGAACGAGUUAUCUGAACCUUCGGGGAACGAUAUACGGCGUCGAGCGGCGGACGGGUGAGUAAUGCCUGGGAAAUUGCCCUGAUGUGGGGGAUAACCAUUGGAAACGAUGGCUAAUACCGCAUAAUAGCUUCGGCUCAAAGAGGGGGACCUUCGGGCCUCUCGCGUCAGGAUAUGCCCAGGUGGGAUUAGCUAGUUGGUGAGGUAAGGGCUCACCAAGGCGACGAUCCCUAGCUGGUCUGAGAGGAUGAUCAGCCACACUGGAACUGAGACACGGUCCAGACUCCUACGGGAGGCAGCAGUGGGGAAUAUUGCACAAUGGGCGCAAGCCUGAUGCAGCCAUGCCGCGUGUGUGAAGAAGGCCUUCGGGUUGUAAAGCACUUUCAGUCGUGAGGAAGGUAGUGUGUUUAAUAGAUGCAUUAUUUGACGUUAGCGACAGAAGAAGCACCGGCUAACUCCGUGCCAGCAGCCGCGGUAAUACGGAGGGUGCGAGCGUUAAUCGGAAUUACUGGGCGUAAAGCGCAUGCAGGUGGUGUGUUAAGUCAGAUGUGAAAGCCCGGGGCUCAACCUCGGAAUAGCAUUUGAAACUGGCAGACUAGAGUACUGUAGAGGGGGGUAGAAUUUCAGGUGUAGCGGUGAAAUGCGUAGAGAUCUGAAGGAAUACCGGUGGCGAAGGCGGCCCCCUGGACAGAUACUGACACUCAGAUGCGAAAGCGUGGGGAGCAAACAGGAUUAGAUACCCUGGUAGUCCACGCCGUAAACGAUGUCUACUUGGAGGUUGUGGCCUUGAGCCGUGGCUUUCGGAGCUAACGCGUUAAGUAGACCGCCUGGGGAGUACGGUCGCAAGAUUAAAACUCAAAUGAAUUGACGGGGGCCCGCACAAGCGGUGGAGCAUGUGGUUUAAUUCGAUGCAACGCGAAGAACCUUACCUACUCUUGACAUCCAGAGAACUUACCAGAGAUGCAUUGGUGCCUUCGGGAACUCUGAGACAGGUGCUGCAUGGCUGUCGUCAGCUCGUGUUGUGAAAUGUUGGGUUAAGUCCCGCAACGAGCCGCAACCCUUAUCCUUGUUUGCCAGCCAGUAA
rnacentral:rRNA from 1 species